rnacentral:rRNA from 1 species
UACGGGGGGGGCAAGCGUUGUUCGGAAUUACUGGGCGUAAAGCGCACGUAGGCGGACCAUCAAGUUGGGGGUGAAAUCCCGGGGCUCAACCCCGGAACUGCCUUCAAAACUGUUGGUCUGGAGGUCGAGAGAGGUGAGUGGAAUUCCGAGUGUAGAGGUGAAAUUCGUAGAUAUUGGGAAGAACACCGGUGGCGAAGGCGGCGACCUGGUCCGAUACUGACGCUGAGGCGCGAAAGCGUGGGGAGCAAACAGG